GAUGAACGCUGGCGGCGUGCUUAACACAUGCAGGUCGAACGGUGAAGCCAAGCUUGCUUGGUGGAUCAGUGGCGAACGGGUGAGUAACACGUGAGCAACCUGCCCUGGACUCUGGGAUAAGCGCUGGAAACGGCGUCUAAUACUGGAUAUGAGACGUGAUCGCAUGGUCGUGUUUGGAAAGAUUUUUCGGUCUGGGAUGGGCUCGCGGCCUAUCAGCUUGUUGGUGAGGUAAUGGCUCACCAAGGCGUCGACGGGUAGCCGGCCUGAGAGGGUGACCGGCCACACUGGGACUGAGACACGGCCCAGACUCCUACGGGAGGCAGCAGUGGGGAAUAUUGCACAAUGGGCGAAAGCCUGAUGCAGCAACGCCGCGUGAGGGAUGACGGCCUUCGGGUUGUAAACCUCUUUUAGCAGGGAAGAAGCGAAAGUGACGGUACCUGCAGAAAAAGCGCCGGCUAACUACGUGCCAGCAGCCGCGGUAAUACGUAGGGCGCAAGCGUUAUCCGGAAUUAUUGGGCGUAAAGAGCUCGUAGGCGGUUUGUCGCGUCUGCUGUGAAAUCCCGAGGCUCAACCUCGGGCCUGCAGUGGGUACGGGCAGACUAGAGUGCGGUAGGGGAGAUUGGAAUUCCUGGUGUAGCGGUGGAAUGCGCAGAUAUCAGGAGGAACACCGAUGGCGAAGGCAGAUCUCUGGGCCGUAACUGACGCUGAGGAGCGAAAGGGUGGGGAGCAAACAGGCUUAGAUACCCUGGUAGUCCACCCCGUAAACGUUGGGAACUAGUUGUGGGGACCAUUCCACGGUUUCCGUGACGCAGCUAACGCAUUAAGUUCCCCGCCUGGGGAGUACGGCCGCAAGGCUAAAACUCAAAGGAAUUGACGGGGACCCGCACAAGCGGCGGAGCAUGCGGAUUAAUUCGAUGCAACGCGAAGAACCUUACCAAGGCUUGACAUAUACGAGAACGGGCCAGAAAUGGUCAACUCUUUGGACACUCGUAAACAGGUGGUGCAUGGUUGUCGUCAGCUCGUGUCGUGAGAUGUUGGGUUAAGUCCCGCAACGAGCGCAACCCUCGUUCUAUGUUGCCAGCACGUAAUGGUGGGAACUCAUGGGAUACUGCCGGGGUCAACUCGGAGGAAGGUGGGGAUGACGUCAAAUCAUCAUGCCCCUUAUGUCUUGGGCUUCACGCAUGCUACAAUGGCCGGUACAAAGGGCUGCAAUACCGUGAGGUGGAGCGAAUCCCAAAAAGCCGGUCCCAGUUCGGAUUGAGGUCUGCAACUCGACCUCAUGAAGUCGGAGUCGCUAGUAAUCGCAGAUCAGCAACGCUGCGGUGAAUACGUUCCCGGGUCU
rnacentral:rRNA from 1 species